GAUGAACGCUGGCGGCGUGCCUAAUACAUGCAAGUCGAGCGAACAGACGAGGAGCUUGCUCCUCUGAUGUUAGCGGCGGACGGGUGAGUAACACGUGGAUAACCUACCUAUAAGACUGGGAUAACUUCGGGAAACCGGAGCUAAUACCGGAUAAUAUAUUGAACCGCAUGGUUCAAUAGUGAAAGACGGUUUUGCUGUCACUUAUAGAUGGAUCCGCGCCGCAUUAGCUAGUUGGUAAGGUAACGGCUUACCAAGGCAACGAUGCGUAGCCGACCUGAGAGGGUGAUCGGCCACACUGGAACUGAGACACGGUCCAGACUCCUACGGGAGGCAGCAGUAGGGAAUCUUCCGCAAUGGGCGAAAGCCUGACGGAGCAACGCCGCGUGAGUGAUGAAGGUCUUCGGAUCGUAAAACUCUGUUAUUAGGGAAGAACAUAUGUGUAAGUAACUAUGCACGUCUUGACGGUACCUAAUCAGAAAGCCACGGCUAACUACGUG
rnacentral:rRNA from 1 species